GACGAACGCUGGCGGCGUGCUUAACACAUGCAAGUCGAACGAUGAAGCAGAGAAACGCGGACUUCGGUUCAAAUUUCACUUCGGAUUAGUGGCAGACGGGUGAGUAACGCGUGAGCAACCUACCUCUCACAAAGGGAUAGCCCCGGGAAACCGUGAUUAAUACCAUAUGACACAUUCAUAAGGCAUCUUAAGAAUGUUAAAGCUACGGCGGUAAGAGAUGGGCUCGCGUCCCAUUAGCUAGUUGGUGAGGUAACGGCACACCAAGGCGACGAUGGGUAACCGGCGUGAGAAGGUGCACGGUCACAUUGGAACUGAGACACGGUCCAAACUCCUACGGGAGGCAGGAGUGGGGAAUACUGCAAAAUGGAGGGAACUCUGAUGCAGCGACGCCGCGUGAGCGAUGGAGGAAUUCGUUGCGUAAAGCUCUGUUCUAUGGGAAGAAAAGGACUGUACCAUAGGAGAAAGCACCGGCUAAAUACGUG
rnacentral:rRNA from 1 species